rnacentral:ncRNA from 1 species
UACCUGGUUGAUCCUGCCAGUAGUCAUAUGCUUGUCUCAAAGAUUAAGCCAUGCAAGUCUAAGUACGAGCUCUCGUACAGUGAAACUGCGAAUGGCUCAUUAAAUCAGUUAUGGUUCAUUUGAUCGUACAGUUUACUUGGAUAACUGUGGUAAUUCUAGAGCUAAUACAUGCGAGAAGCGCCGACCUCGCGGGAGGCGUGCAUUUAUCAGACCAAAAACCGGCCGCGUCUUCGGGCGCGUUCGCCUUGGUGACUCUGGAUAACUUUGCGGAUCGCACGGUCUAGCACCGGCGACGGAUCAUUCAAGUGUCUGCCCUAUCAACUUUCGUCGGUACGGUAUUUGCCUACCGAGGUUCUUACGGGUGACGGGGAAUCAGGGUUCGAUUCCGGAGAGGGAGCCUGAGAAACGGCUACCACAUCCAAGGAAGGCAGCAGGCGGAAUCCACCACAUGGAGCUC